rnacentral:tRNA from 1 species
GGGAAUCUAGCUCAGUGGCAUAAGCGCCUGCCUUGCAAGCAGGCAGUUGUGAGUUCGAUUCCUGCUACCG